rnacentral:lncRNA from 1 species
UAUGAUCUCAUUUAAUUCAGAUCAUAUUUACCUCUACUUAGUUAGAAGAGGUGUCGUUUCGACUCACAUAGAUGACGAUGACGAUAUAUAUCUGUGAGUUUGAUAUCUAGUUAAUAGUGAUGUACGAAACCAUUUGAUUAUUAUCGUGAUUAUGUCUAUAUUUAUUUAAUACACAAUGCUUGUUUAUUUAUAGAGACAUCUAGCUAGUAACCAAAAAA